ensembl:snRNA U1 U1 spliceosomal RNA
AUACUUAACUGGCAGGGGAGAUAACAUGAGCAAGAAGGUGAUUUUUCCCAAAGUGAGGAUUACCCAUUGUACUUCUGAUAUACUGACCACUGUAUUUUCCAUAAGUGAAUAAUACUCCACUGACUGCAUGAUUUGUUGUAUUGGGGGGUGUUUGUGUUCUCCCCUG